CCUACGGGUGGCAGCAGUGGGGAAUAUUGCACAAUGGGCGCAAGCCUGAUGCAGCCAUGCCGCGUGUGUGAAGAAGGCCUUCGGGUUGUAAAGCACUUUCAGCGGGGAGGAAGGCGUUAAGGUUAAUAACCUUGGCGAUUGACGUUACCCGCAGAAGAAGCACCGGCUAACUCCGUGCCAGCAGCCGCGGUAAUACGGAGGGUGCAAGCGUUAAUCGGAAUUACUGGGCGUAAAGCGCACGCAGGCGGUCUGUCAAGUCGGAUGUGAAAUCCCCGGGCUCAACCUGGGAACUGCAUUCGAAACUGGCAGGCUAGAGUCUUGUAGAGGGGAGUAGAAUUCCAGGUGUAGCGGUGAAAUGCGUAGAGAUCUGGAGGAAUACCGGUGGCGAAGGCGGCCCCCUGGACAAAGACUGACGCUCAGGUGCGAAAGCGUGGGGAGCAAACAGGAUUAGAUACCCGGGUAGUC
rnacentral:rRNA from 1 species